AUGGCAGGCGAGAGAGGAAACGAUGGGGACAAAAAGGAAGGGAUGGGGAGCGCUCUCACGGUAAAAAAGGACAGAUGGGAUGGAGAGCAAAUGGGCCCCCAUUCGAAGGAUGGCUUGGCAGGCCUCUCUGCGCCCCCAAACACCCUCAAACCGCAUAAGAGGAGGAAGGAGGAGACUGAGUUUGGGGCCUGCGUGGACCAAAGAAGGAGAAGUCAAAAGAAAAAUGGGAGGGAAAGCUUGGAAGCAAAGUGGACAAAGACGCAAAAGAGGGGAAGUUGGAAGUGGAACUGCAAAAAAAGCGCUGGAAAGCAGCAGCUAGGAAAGAGGCAGCUCCCGAAGGGGCUCAGACAUAGCCUCGAAACGGGGUCCUGGGGAGGCGAUGGGGCAGAGCUGAGAGGGGGCAUCGCUGGGACGCCGCGGGGAGGUGAGGGAUGCCUCCAGGAGGGUGGGGAGUCGGGAAGGCGGCGCCCAGCGCGCGGGGGCUGGCGGAGGGGCCUCGGCGGGGUCCGGGAGCCGAGGACCGAGUGGGAGCGGGCCGGCGGGGAGGGGGCGCGGCGGGCACGUCGCCGACGCCGGGAGGAAGUAGGGAGACGAACCCGGGCAGGGGCGAAGCGAAGGGGGAGAAGAGGAAGGAGCGGGCGGAGGGCUUGGGGGAAGGGCGGCGGGAGGAGGGGGGAGGGGAGAGGGGAGGGGGGAGGGGAGAGGGGAGGGGGCGGGGACGCGCCGCGACCAGACCUGGCCGGGGGCCGGGGGGCCGGCGGCGCGGACGGCUCGGUCACCUCGGGCUGUGGCCUCCCUCCCCGCGGGGCGAGCCGCCGGCGGGCAGCGUCUUGGGAGGCGGCGGCAGCGGCGGCGGCAGCGGCCCGACCCGUGCGGUCACCAUCGUCCGCGGCAGCAGGCGCUGCGGGCCGAGCCCCUCAGCAGCCGGCGGCAGCCAUGGCCUACUGCGCUCGCUCCUCCCGCCCCCGGCGCUCUGCGGCGGCCGCGGUCCGCUCUCGCGCUCUGCGCCUGCGCGCGCCGCGCCCCGCCCCCUCCCCCGACCGCGCACGCGCACGCGCACGCGCCGGCGCGCGCUCCCGCGCUCACUCACAAUCGCACCGGCCCGGGGCUUCCCGCGCCGCCUCCGGUACGUGGGCGGGAGACACGCGGCCCACGCGGCCGGGCUCAGGCAGCUAUGGAGACGCGCACCACGCCGACACCUGCACGCGCACUGUGACACGCGCCAUUCUGACACACGUGUGCUCUCACACUCCCCGACACCGGAGCCGCACGCGCUCGCACCCACACUCACCUGCCGGGACCACGUGGGAGGACUGGAGGGGCUGAUCCUCACCGUGCAACCGCAGUAGCAACGAUGCUGGAAUUUUUUUUUAACUCCCUCGCUGACUGGGCUGGACUGUCAACUCCAUGGCGUCGGGAACCAAGUCUGAGAUGGCUCAGCAAUGCCUAGCACACAACUGGGGCUCCUUACGCCCCUGUGGAAUAA
rnacentral:lncRNA from 1 species